GGAAUCUUGGACAAUGGGGGCAACCCUGAUCCAGCCAUGCCGCGUGAGCGAUGAAGGCCCUAGGGUUGUAAAGCUCUUUCACCCGUGAAGAUAAUGACGGUAGCGGGAGAAGAAGCCCCGGCUAACUCCGUGCCAGCAGCCGCGGUAAUACGGAGGGGGCAAGCGUUGUUCGGAAUUACUGGGCGUAAAGGGCGCGUAGGCGGAACAUUAAGUUAGGGGUGAAAGGCCUGGGCUCAACCUGGGAACGGCCUCUAAGACUGAUGAUCUUGAGUCCGGAAGAGGAUGGCGGAAUUCCCAGUGUAGAGGUGAAAUUCGUAGAUAUUGGGAAGAACACCGGUGGCGAAGGCGGCCAUCUGGUCCGGUACUGACGCUGAGGCGCGAAAGCGUGGGGAGCAAAC
rnacentral:rRNA from 1 species